UGCCAACAUUUUAACUUGGCUUAACCUUUUUGCCAUCUUAGGUAAUUUUUGAAUACUAAAUCCAUCAAAGAUCUUUGAUUUUGAUUUCUUCUGGGCCAAUCAGUGAACAGACUGAGUUACGGACGAUGACGUUAAUUUCCUGCGCCGCUUUAGAUUGGUAGUCAGCCUGUAGGUUCAGCAAUGGCGGCGCAGGAAGUGAAGGAAGCUGUUUGGUCUGUAUUAGCGUUGAAUUAACAGCCUUCUGGUUCGGUUCGGUUCGGCUCUUUUCUCAGCCGCGGAGGACGGUUGUUUACAGUCAACUUCCGGUUUAUAGCGGAACAUGACGUGCACCAAAGUUACCGAUUGGAUAAAGUUAAAAACGUCCACAAUCGUUUCUCAGACCAGUUCCAUAUAUUUUCCAGAUAAAUGUGACUUUCAAAUAACUUCUUCAUAAGGACCUGGAGUGAAAACCGACCCACAGUUUGCAGCCAUUUUUAUGCCUGUUUGUUGAACUUCAGUCAGUCCUGAGGAUGAAUUUGGCCCCACAACCAAAUGAAAGACCCACCGUCUCUCAGCUUCUCGCUCUGCCGUGCGUCAGGAAACGCAGAUGGAUUUACCGCACAGUGGCUGAGACCAUCCCGACACUGGUCUCCUUCUGCCAAGUACUGGUUCCACUCUACAUUUAAUAAAGGUGAAGGUUUUUAAUGUUGGAUUGUUUUCUCUGUUUGUGGUGUGCUUCGGUUCGCUUGCUGUUUCUGCCUUGUUGGUGGAAGCCGGAGCCGUGGGAGCCGCGCUCAGCCUGCUGGGAGCCGCGCUCAGCCUGCUGGGAGCCGCGCUCAGCCUGCUGGGAGCCGCGCUCAGCCUGCGGCUCCACAGCAUCCACUCGCAGACCCUCAGCAUCCUGUUGCUGCAGCAGGCGCCCAACAUCAGCCGGGUCAUGAUCCGCUCAUCCCCGAGGCGCCACCUCUGACGCAGCUGCUGGACCGGUACGACCCGCGGAUGGAGGACGAGGAGCACGCCACGACUGAGACCAUCAUCACCAUGGCAACGAAGCAUAAGACCGCCUCUUCUUCUUCUGCUCCUGUGGCUCUGGGGUCGUUGCCACGGCGA